rnacentral:rRNA from 1 species
CCUACGGGAGGCUGCAGUGGGGAAUAUUGCACAACGGGCGCAAGCCUGAUGCAGCCAUGCCGCGUGUGUGAAGAAGGCCUUCGGGUUGUAAAGCACUUUCAGCGGGGAGGAAGGCGGUGAGGUUAAUAACCUCAUCGAUUGACGUUACCCGCAGAAGAAGCACCGGCUAACUCCGUGCCAGCAGCCGCGGUAAUACGGAGGGUGCAAGCGUUAAUCGGAAUUACUGGGCGUAAAGCGCACGCGGGCGGUCUGUCAAGUCGGAUGUGAAAUCCCCGGGCUCAACCUGGGAACUGCAUUCGAAACUGGCAGGCUAGAGUCUUGUAGAGGGGGGUAGAAUUCCAGGUGUAGCGGUGAAAUGCGUAGAGAUCUGGAGGAAUACCGGUGGCGAAGGCGGCCCCCUGGACAAAGACUGACGCUCAGGUGCGAAAGCGUGGGGAGCAAACAGGAUUAGAUACCCGGGUAGUC